CCUACGGGAGGCAGCAGUGGGGAAUAUUGCGCAAUGGGCGAAAGCCUGACGCAGCGAAGCCGCGUGAGGGAUGAAGGUCUUCGGAUCGGAAACCCCCGUCAGCAGGGAAGAACGGUCACUGUGCUAAUCAGCAGUGAAUUGACGGUACCUGAAAACGAAGCACCGGCUAACUCCAUGCCAGCAGCCGCGGUAAUACGGAGGGUGCGAGCGUUAAUCGGAAUUACUGGGCGGAAAGCGCUCGUAGGCGGUAUGUCAAGUCAAGGGUGAAAGCCCCGCGCUCAACGCGGGAACUGCCUUUGAAACUGGCAAACUGGAGUGUGUGAGAGGAUAGUGGAAUGCCAGGUGUAGGAGUGAAAUCCGUAGAUAUCUGGAGGAACAUCAGUGGCGAAGGCGACUAUCUGGCACAUAACUGACGCUGAGGCGCGAAAGCGUGGGUAGCAAACAGGAUUAGAUACCCGGGUAGUC
rnacentral:rRNA from 1 species